rfam:Clostridium sp. BL8 Contig47, whole genome shotgun sequence.
AAGAACUGAUAACUUGAAAAGUCAAAUGAAAGGGUAACGCCUUGAAGGGCUUCUCUAAUACUCCGAAUAGCGAAGCUAGCAGUAAGAACGGCUUUGUUAUAAGCUCGGUGAAGUCGGCUGAGGUUAUCUCCUAACAGGUUAAGCUGAGGAACUGCGAACUAGAGGUAGUCGAGGAUAAUAUAGGCCGGGAGUCCAUAAA